rnacentral:ncRNA from 2 species
CUCUUAUCAAGAGAGGUGGAGGGUAUACGGCCCUGUGAAGCCCGGCAACCAGCGCAGUUAAAAACCAAUAUGCGCAUGGUGCCAAUUCCGGCGCUGCCAGCAAUGGCGGUGCAAGAUGAGGG